CCUGCCCCUAGAAGCAUUGCAUGUGUGGCUGCUGUGUCACAUGUGCAUCAGUAGGUGGCAGAGAGAAGAAAGGUUAUGCCUAGGCUCAAGUGUUCAGACCUGUAAACAUCUGAAUGAUUCGCAGUCUAACAUU
ensembl:snoRNA Gm25408 predicted gene, 25408